UGCGCGCGCGCGUGCAUGCGCGUGAAUAUACAAGACACAUGAAUACAGGUGCCUACAGAGACCAGAAAGGACACCAGAUUCCCUGGAACUAGAGUUCCAGGUGACUUCGAGCUGCCUGAUGAGGGUGCUGAGAACUGAACUCAGGUUCUCUGCAAGAACUGCGCAGGCUCUUAACCACUAAGCAGUCUCUCCAGCCUCCGGAUAUGGGGAUGUCUGUUGCCUGUGUUUCCAGAAAAGAACCACAGGGUCAUAAUCUGUUAGCCAACACCAGCGUCCGAGUUCAUAUGUGUAAUUUUGGGCCCAUACCCUGAAUCAUCCUCUUACUCCAAAACAAAACAAAUUAAACCCUGAGGAAUCUGGCAGAAAAACCUGUGUAUUUAUUAUGCUGUUGUUAAGAUCUAGAGACUCUGGGAACAUUAGCUUUCCAUUUUUGUGUGGGAAUCUCUAUUUGGAAGCACAUGACUGCCCAGGUUCCCACAGCUCUUUACAAGCCUCGUCUCUCAUUUACAUUCUGUCAUUUAUGUCUUUAUAUGGCCCAAUCGGUGUUUACAGGUGGUGUGAGCACUGUCCUCCCAGCGUGACAUGAGAACAGCUCGGGCUGUUCCAGAGACUGGAGAUGGGGUCUGCUGACUGGUCAUGCUCCUUCACAGAUUUGAUCGGCUGGGCUGUCAAACGUUACAUCCUUGAGUGGACGAGGAUUGCGUAAUUCUGUAGGAUCAGCCCGGGAAGCGUUGUCCCGCCUGUAUCAGUGAUUGACAGAAGGCAGAGCAGAGAGAGGGCUGACCGUGCCUGUGAACACGUUUGAAGUUGCGGCGUUCCCAUUUUGUACAAGGGUUUAAAAGAGCGCCACCACCAUUUUCAUGAGCUUGGGAUGGUUGUUUCUGACAUCUGCACAGUUAUUUCAAGAAGCCAAGAGAGUUAGAAACUGUGAAGAUUGACAGCAGGCACAGAGACAGAUGAACUACUUAAGCAUCAAAUCAAACAAGAGGCAAAGCCCCAUUUCCUGAGCUGGGAAAUCCACCUACUAGAGAAGACAGAGGAUUUACAGGAAAGAGGCUACACGUCUAUUAAAACACAUCUGUCUCCAUUUGAAAUAUAAUCAUUUGAAGCUGAUGGCGAUAGAAGAGCCAGAAAAUAACUUUUAUGAAAUAGUGGUCUCAUUGCCAUGUACCACCAUCAAAAGCUUAGAUACAACGCCUUGGAGUUACAUACACUAUAAAAGGCAAAAACCGGGAAAGGCAUUGUAUGGCAAAUAUGUUUUAGAGUUGGUAAAGGAAGCUCAGCAAAGCAAGAUGACAAGGAACACGAACCUCCGUUUCCACAUGGGCUGUGGAAAGUUCUGGUGGUGUACAGGGACUGUGGUGUAUGUCUUCACACCAUCACCUGAGCUAGCUGGCAGGAAGGAAUUCAUCUAAUUGUUUCCUCAGAGCAAAGGACGUUUUGACAGUUAUCUCCCUAAGAAGGGUGAUGUUUUCCUAAGCCAUUAAAAGCCUCCCAGGAAUGCAGUGGCCUAAGAAGAGGCCAGGUUGGAUCCUUAGAUUGCUGUGUCGGGUUCGGUGCUAUGUAAAAUCCUGUACUUCUCUUGUCCCCUCGUCUCACUCUUGCUGUCCUCCUACACUCUAUUUCUUUUGGGUUUUCUGACAUGAGAUCUCACUGUGCAGUCCAGGCUUCAAACUACAAUAACCUGCCUGUCUCAGCCUCCUGAGUACUGCGAUUAAACAUGCAUGACACCAACAUACAUGGGUCAAAGUCUAAACUGUCACUGGAAAAAUCAUCUGGAUCAUCUCACAGUGCUCCCGUGACUACGCAAUAUGACAAGGCUUGGGAAAGUGCUCGGUAAAUCUCAGAAGCUUCCCGUCUUCAUUCUGUCAGCACAUUUGAGCACGGACUGUGUGUCAGAAGCCAGGGGCAUUGUAUCUACAGUGUAAGAGGAUCUUGACUGGGAGGCCCCAGGGACCCUGUGAUGGAAAAGGCCUCCUCUCCAGGGCUGCUGGUCAGGCAUUUACAUGAUCAUGUGGCCGAGUUUGCCUAAGGCUCUGAUUCCAUCCCCAGCACUGCAAACAUAAAGAUCCUAUCAUGUGAUGACAUAGACCCA